AACGAACGCUGGCGGCAUGCCUAACACAUGCAAGUCGAACGAGACCUUCGGGUCUAGUGGCGCACGGGUGCGUAACGCGUGGGAACCUGCCCUUAGGUUCGGAAUAACUCCCCGAAAGGGGUGCUAAUACCGGAUAAUGUCUUCGGACCAAAGAUUUUUCGCCUUUGGAUGGGCCCGCGUUGGAUUAGCUAGUUGGUAGGGUAAAAGCCUACCAAGGCGGCGAUCCAUAGCUGGUCUGAGAGGAUGAUCAGCCACACUGGGACUGGGACACGGCCCAGACUCCUGCGAGAGGCGGCGGUGGGGACAAUUGGACAGGGGCGAAGGCCUGAUCCAGCAAUGCCGCGUGAGUGAUGAAGGCCUUAGGGUUGUAAAGCUCUUUUACCCGGGAUGAUAAUGACAGUACCGGGAGAAUAAGCUCCGGCUAACUCCGUG
rnacentral:rRNA from 1 species